rnacentral:misc_RNA from 1 species
UCAUCAUCUGAACUAGAAUUUUCAAUCUUCCGCUCUUGAAUUGCUGGAAAUAACCGUGAACGAAUAUCAGGAGAAAUCUGUUGUUGUUGGCGGGGAUCAGGAGAAAUUUGUUGUUGUUGGCGGGAAGAGUGAGAUGAUGCAGUUGAUGCCUCUUUCUUAAGCGAUUUUUCUGACAUCUUUUGUGCCUCUCCCACCUGUUUGCACACCUUAUCUAAGAUGAUCAAGAA